UGGGGAAUAUUGCACAAUGGAGGGAACUCUGAUGCAGCGACGCCGCGUGAGUGAUGAAGGAAUUCGUUUCGUAAAACUCUGUUCUAUGGGAAGAAAAGGACUGUACCAUAGGAGAAAGCUCCGGCUAAAUACGUGCCAGCAGCCGCGGUAAUACGUAUGGAGCGAGCGUUGUCCGGAAUUAUUGGGCGUAAAGGGUGCGCAGGCGGCUUUACAAGUUGGAUGUGAAAUAUUGUGGCUCAACCACAAACGUGUAUCCAAAACUGCAAAGCUUGAGUUAAGGAGAGGUAAGUGGAAUUCCUGGUGUAGCGGUGGAAUGCGUAGAUAUCAGGAGGAAUACCGGUGGCGAAGGCGACUUACUGGACUUAAACUGACGCUCAGGCACGAAAGCGUGGGGAGCAAACAGG
rnacentral:rRNA from 1 species